AUUGAACGCUGGCGGCAGGCCUAACACAUGCAAGUCGAACGAGUGGCGGACGGGUGAGUAAUGUCUGGGAAACUGCCUGAUGGAGGGGGCUAACUACUGGAAACGGUAGCUAAUACCGCAUACCAUCAUAUGUUCCCAGAGGGGAUUGGCUAGUGGGGGGGGUAACGGCUCACCAAGGCGACGAUCCCUAGCUGGUCUGAGAGGAUGACCGGCCACACUGGAACUGAGAAACGGUCCAGACUCCUACGGGAGGCAGCAGUGGGGAAUAUUGCACAAUGGGCGCAAGCCUGAUGCAGCCAUGCCGAGUGUAUGAAGAAGGCCUUCGGGUUGUAAAGUACUUUCAGCGAGGAGGCGUUACCCGCAGAAGAAGCAUCGGCUAACUCCGUGCCAGCAGCCGCGGUAAUAC
rnacentral:rRNA from 1 species